GAGGGGUUGCCCUGACAAAAAGUGGGUCAUAUACUCAGGUGAUUUAAUGUGAAAGGGGGAAAAGGUGGGACUUCCGCACUCCAGGAGGAGGAAGAGCAGAUGCAGGGAUAAAGAAGAAGACUUCAGAUUAGGCUUUGGAAGAAAAAGGAUGCAACAGCCAUGUGAUCUCGAAAGUGUACUAGCCUUUCAUGUUUGUGAAUGGAAGAACUCAGGAUAAUUUUACUUGUUUUGAGUGCUUCAUUCAAGAGAAACUGGAAAAUGGUCUGAGCUGUAAAGAUUUGUCUCAACUCUGUCACUCAGGAUCACUUUCCUUAUCUUGUCAACAGCUCUUUAAGGUUAAAUGACCAUAGAGUCUAGGUAACUUUGGCUACAUUCUGCUAGUAUCAAGAAUGUAUUAAAAUAUAGUAACUAUUCUUUCCAGUUAC
rnacentral:lncRNA from 1 species